rnacentral:rRNA from 1 species
GAUGAACGCCAGCUACAGGCUUAACACAUGCAAGUCGCGGGGCAGCAUGGGGGUUGCUUGCAAUCCCCGAUGGCGACCGGCGCACGGGUGAGUAACGCGUAUCCAACCUGCCCUUCACCACGGGAUAACCCGGCGAAAGUCGGACUAAUACCGUAUGUUGUCCAUUGACGGCAUCCGAUUUGGACGAAAGGUUUGGCGGUGAAGGAUGGGGAUGCGUCCGAUUAGCUGGACGGCGGGGUGACGGCCCACCGUGGCGACGAUCGGUAGGGGUUCUGAGAGGAAGGUCCCCCACACUGGAACUGAGACACGGUCCAGACUCCUACGGGAGGCAGCAGUGAGGAAUAUUGGUCAAUGGGCGUAAGCCUGAACCAGCCAAGUAGCGUGCAGGAUGACGGCCCUAUGGGUUGUAAACUGCUUUUAUGCGGGGAUAAAGUGGCCCACGUGUGGGUUUUUGCAGGUACCGCAUGAAUAAGGACCGGCUAAUUCCGUG